AUGGAUUACAUAUCCCCUGAGAGAAGUCUGGAUGGGACUUGUGGAGACCCUGGUCCUUUAUUUGGAGAUCAAGAUGGUUGCUUGUUGGAGCACAUGGACUAUCAUGGUGAAGGAAUUACACAACCUGAAUCCCCACCACUGAAUGAUGGACUUUUAGUUGACGCAGCCGAUCAAAUUUCAUAUUUGUCUGCAGAUUCUGUACCCUAUAUGAAUGAUCAGAUCAUGUGCAAUACAAUGAAAUCCGCUUCAACUAGUCCAGCAUCUCCCCUGAAGCAAGACGAGGAACAUCAUGUGCAUAUAGAAUCUGAUAUGCAAAACGAUGCAGCUGAACGGAAAGUUCACCAUAAUGAUGACUGUGAAGUACGUACCACUUCUUCGGGUUAUGAUGUGCAUCAGAAUACAGAAGUGGUUGAAGGUGUGCUUCCUCCAGAGCUUCAUGAAAGCAGUGGUAAUGAUAUAUCAAACUUUCAACAAGAAACUACACAUUCUGAUGCCUAUCUUGGUGACUCUAUGUUAGCUGAUAAUAGCAGUAGGGAUUAUCAAUUUAGCAAUAGCGGUGAUGAUGAUGAUGAUGAAAUUCCAAACUCUUCUGCGCCUCAGAUGGGAAAUAAGGACAACAGAAAGUUACAUGAGACUUUUCACAAUGAAGUGAAUGGGACAGAGGAUGAUCAAAUGAAUGGUGGGAAUUCUAAUCCUCAUGAUGAACAUGACAAUGAGAACUUCAACUCUGCAAUUGCACCUUCCUAUUUGGAUGGGAUGGAGCAGGAAGAUCCUGGUACCGAGAAUGGCAUUUCUACGCCUGGCAAUCAGUGGGAUUCUCCACCUGAAAGGUCUGCAGGACUAGAGAAGGGCACACCAUCACCAGCCAGGAGGGUCUCACUUUCAGUAGAAAGGUCACCUCAUGCUCAUUCAUCUGAGAAACUGGACUCACCACAUCAUGCAAAAGAGGGUGAUAAUUUGGCUGACUCUCGAAGCCCACCAGCAAGACAUCGGUCCCGAUCUCCUGGAUCUCCUGAAAACCAUGACACCAACCGUAGAAGAGCUCCCUCACAUGAGUUGUCUCCACAUGCACGGGAUAACUCUCCAGAAAGAAAAGCACAAUCUCGGCGUGGAGAUGGGUCACCGCGCCGAAGAUCUACAUCCCCUGGAAGAAGAGAUGGGUCACCGCAGCGAAGAUCAGCUUCCCCUAAAAGAAGAGAUGGGUCACCGCGACGAAGAUCAGCUUCCCCUAGAAGAAGACAUGGUUCACCACGCCGAAGAUCUGCAUCCCCUAAAAGAAGAGAUGGGUCACCUCGCAGAAGAUCUCCAUCCCCCAAAAGAAGACACGGGUCACCACGACAAAGAUCUCCAUCCCCUAAAAGGAGGCAUGGGUCACCACGGCGAAGAUCUCCAUCCCCUAAAAGGAGGCAUGGGUCACCGCGGCGAAGAUCUCCAUCUCCUAAAAGAAGAGCCUCGCCCAAGAGGAGGGGUUCACCAAGGAGGAGGGAUUCCCCAACAAGGAGGGAUUCCUCUCCAAGAAGGAGAGACUCACCAAGAAAGAGAGAUUCCUCACCAAGGAGGAGGGAUUCCCCAACAAGGAGGGAUUCCUCUCCAAGAAGGAGAGACUCGCCAAGAAAGAGAGAUUCCUCUCCAAGGAGGAGGGAAUCCCCAACAAGAAAGAGGGACUCCCCAACAAGGAAGAGAGAUAGAUCAAAAUCAAGGUCACCAUCAAGGAAAACUGAUUCCUCUAGACAUAAAAGGGAGCAUGGUAGAUCUCGAUCAAGGUCUCCACACUCUAGGAAUCACCAUAGAAGAUCUCCAAGAAGAAGGCAUUCACCAAGGCACAGAUCACCUCCAGCAAGGCAUCAUUCUCCUAAAAGAUGUUGGUCACCACCUGCCAACAGGAAGACUGGAUUGGGUAAGCCUGGGCGGAAUCUGUUUGUUGCAGGUUUUAGCUAUGCCACCACAGAGCGAGAGUUGGAGAAGAAAUUUGCAAAGUUUGGACGUGUAACAAGGGUGCGGGUUGUCCGAGAUAAACGAACUGGAGAUUCUCGAGGCUUUGGGUUUUUAUCCCUGGAGAAGGAUGAGGACGCUGAUGCAGCAAUCCGAGCUUGCGACGAGACUGAGUGGAAUGGUAGGAUCAUUCUUGUGGAGAAGUCCAAGGCACCUGCAUGGGCCCUGCUGCUGAUAAAGAGGGAGUUAGCGGUACACAUUGUAAUAUCUGCAACCUCUACUACACAUUCAUGA
rnacentral:rRNA from 1 species